UGGGGAAUAUUGCACAAUGGGGGAAACCCUGAUGCAGCAACGCCGCGUGAAGGAAGACGGUUUUCGGAUUGUAAACUUCUGUUCUUAGUGAAGAAUAAUGACGGUAGCUAAGGAGCAAGCCACGGCUAACUACGUGCCAGCAGCCGCGGUAAUACGUAGGUGGCAAGCGUUGUCCGGAAUUACUGGGUGUAAAGGGAGCGCAGGCGGGAGACCAAGUCAGCUGUGAAAACUACGGGCUUAACCUGUAGACUGCAGUUGAAACUGGUUUCUUGAGUGAAGUAGAGGUUGGCGGAAUUCCGGGUGUAGCGGUGAAAUGCGUAGAUAUUCGGAGGAACACCGGUGGCGAAGGCGGCCAACUGGGCUUUAACUGACGCUGAGGCUUGAAAGUGUGGGGAGCAAACAGGAUUAGAUACC
rnacentral:rRNA from 1 species